UCUGUUUGCCUAGGUCGUAAUCUUAGAAAAGCUCUAAAAUAUACUGGAUCCACAAAAAGUGCUGGCUGAUAUAUAUUACAAAUAGGAAGGGGUUCCUCUGGGUGUAGCAACACUUUGGCAGUCAGUCAUCUUCUCCGUCAUCUGUAGUCGGGAAAACGUAUGACUGUGCUGCAGUGAGCUAUUAGCAGGAAGUGAAGAGAGUACGACUCUGAGCCCUUUGCACCAGUUUCAGUUACAUGAAACCCACCCCUGCUGUCUGGCCAACUCCUGCUCUCCACCCUGUGCUGCAAAUGAAAACAUGGGUGUGUGCUGCAGAAAGAGGGAAUAAAGGAAGGAAGAAAUAGCUGUCUUCUUUUUCUGAAGUAUCCAGAUAUCCAGAGAUUUGAAAAAAAAAAAAAAAAAAAAAACCUCACAGAGCAACGUGAUGGCAAGUCAGUGUUUACAUCACGUACGAUCAUGGAGACAGAGUGGGAGAUAGAGAGUGGGAGAUGACAGCGAGAAGGGAAAUAGAAGACAUCUGAAGACUGAAGAGAGCUCGCAACAAAAACAGCAGGUAGACGGAGGAACAGUCGGGAAAUGGAACCAAAAUAAGGUCUUUUCAGGAAGGAGAGGACAGCAAGCUCCCUUCAUUUCAUAACUUAGCGAAGCCACAGAUCCCAGCUGAUCCAGCUUUCCCUCCAAAUAAGGAGCACUGACAGGCUGUUUGUUGUGGACGACUCCCUCCGAAGAGGAGGGGCCUGUUCCAGACUGGUUUGUUUUGGAGCUCUAUCACAGAUACGCUAUCGGGUUUUCCCAUGCUGUUAUCUCCUGGAAUGUGGAUUGCCACUGGCUGGGUUCUCACAGAGAGGGGAUGGGUGUGUCUCCCACCAAAGAUGCUGUCCAGAGCGAGUGAGGACCCUGCAGAAAUCACAGUGUGCCUCGAAAUCAAGAACUGGCAUUGAC